AAGAGACAUACAGAAAGAGAUGUUGCAAAGAUAGAAACAACAAGAUUUAACAACAGACUGAACUGACAAAGGGAUGAAAUUAGUAAGGAAACAAGAACAUGGUUGUGGUUGGAAUUAGAGGUGAAGAAGAGAGAAAAGGUGGCAAGCUAAUUCUCACUGAAAAAGAACAAACAAUGUGAUUCAAAGCCCAGUCUCCUCACUGGAAAGUUGCUUUUCACUGGUCUAAUUUCCAUCUCUUCCCCAGUUCCCUUCACAGGCCUGUUUGGAAAGAUCCUGACGCCCAAUCAAGAGACAGACAGCUUCUGGCCAAUCUG